CUUCCUUCCUCAAACUAAUGAUUUUUUCGUUGAGUAUCAUCUUGUAUUAGCCUUUUCUACAUAGCUGAACUGUUGUGGGAUUACACUCUGUAUUUUUUUUUCUUUUUCCCUUAAAAUGGAUGCUUAUCCAAGUAUUUGUUUUCUGGCUUCUAUAUAGUGGUAUAUGGAAUCAUAAGAGAGCCAUUGCAAUAGUGGGUCCAAUACUCUCACUUUUCAUGAUAUCUUCAACUGCCGUGUGUGCUCUAUUUACAAUUUAAAAAUAUCCCUUUUAAUCAAUCUUCCAAAAUUUGCCCAUGUAUUUUGUUUGCAUAAGCUAUUUACCUUUCUUGACUGAUAUUUGCUUUGAUCUGUAUAAUUAUGUAUAAUUAUGUAUAAUCUGUAUAAUUUUGUAUAGUGUAUGCCUAUUGAAGAAUUUGAAGGGCAUAUUGGAGGUAAAAUAUAUCAAAAAGUAGAAUCACAAAAAAGGAACAAAGUGCACACAUAGUUUUUGAUUCCUAUUGGGAUGAGUGGAGCUAUCUAUAUGGUCUUAAGUGUUUGGGACCCAGUGCUUUCAAGGAGCAGAAUUCUAGGAAGGGGGGGGGGGGGGGUUGAGCAGAAUUCCAUGAGACUUCAAAUCUAAGGAUGCAAGUCCUAUGUAAAGAAAAGCAUACGUGAAUAAAAGCAAGAGAAAAAGAGGGUGAAUGACAUAUUUUUGUAACGGAAAAAAUCCUCGAGAGCUGAUGAUGCAUGGUUUGAGACUUGCUGGAUAGUGGACCUAUUCCCCUGUAUAUGAUUUUUUAUUUGCAAUUGAUUCAACCUCAUGAUUAGCUCUAGCCCACACAUUGUGUACUAUACUCUUGCCCCUACAUCAAAAUCUUGGGGCAUUAACAUGUUUCUAGUCCUACUUCCCGUCUUAUCUUCACAUAUUCAUUAACUAAUUUUCUAUUUUUUUUGAUAAAUGUUGUGUUCGAGCUAGCUUGCACGCACCUUGACUAAUUCUAUGAGAUAUCUGCCUCCUAUGUUGCUCAGAUUCUUUAAAAAUGUCGGCAGGUACUUGUUGGAUCCUUCAAAAAGUGCAUCUUUGAAGGAUCCGUCAUAGGUGCAACAUAACCUGCUACCUCCUACUGCAACAGGUUAGGGUAGCUCUGUCCACCAAAGUUAGGACAAAUGGGACGAAAUCACCUAGUGUGUUUGUCUUUACUAGGAUUUAAACCUAAGACCUCAUGGUUCUUGUGAAAAUAUAGGAGAAAAAUGUAUUGAAUUGUUGUAUCUAAAUUAUUACAUUAAGAUACUAUUUAUAGGCUAGAAUCUUUUUUCAAUUAGGACACUGAUAUUAUAACCCUUUUCCAAGUAGGUAUCUAUAUAAUAUUCCUAUUCCUACACCACGGCUUGGCUCAGCGGUAAGCUUGCUUACCGUGGUGUGCCAGGUCCUGGGUUCGAAUCAGUCCUUCAGCGAAGCUGGGGUAAGGCUUCCUAGACAUCCCUUCCCCGACACCCACGGAGUGGGUACGAACCGGGCCGACCCUUUUUACCCCUACUCAUAUUCUAAACAUUCGCCUUCAAGCUGGUGCAUAUAAGUCAUAUUUACUGAGCUUGUUACAAAUGUAAUUAAUACGAGGACUAGUGAGUGAUUUGGUGAAAAUAUCUUCAAGCCGCUCACUAGAUUUCACUAAUUUGUAACAAUAUCUCUGGAAAGUAUCUUCUCUCUCACAAAGCGACUAUCAAUCUCAAUGUUCUUAGCCUUCUCAUGAAAUAUCAGAUUUGAUGCAAUAUGAAGAGCUGCUUGGUUAUCACACACAAGUUUCAUUUCCUUGAUUUUUCCAAAUUUUAACUCUCUUAACAACUGUUUAAUCCAAACUAACUGACCAGUGGCUACCACCAUUACUUGAUAUUCUGUUUCUGCACUAGAUCGAGUUAACACACUCUAUUUUUGACUCUUCUAGGUCACCAAAUUACCUCCUACGAAAGUACAAUAUCUGAAUAUAGAACGUCUAUUACAAGGUGAUCCUGUUAGACUCUAACAGCAUUAGAUAACAUCUGUAUGUUCAAUGGUCUGCUUAUGACCUCGAUCCUCAAAGAGCUGACUAAAUAUAUCACACAAUGAGAACAACUGCAUCCCAAUAACUAUCAUAGGAGAAUCUAUAAACUGACUUACAACACUCACAUGAUAGGAAAUGUUAGGUCUGGUUACUAUGAGAUAAUUCAACUUACCACCUAGAUGCUUAUAUCUUUCAGGAUCGUUGAGUGACUCCUCCUAUCCUGGCAAGAGUUUAGUAUUCGAAUCCAUAGAAGUGUCAAUAGGUUUACAUCUUAUCAUUCUUGUCUCUUUGAGAAUGUCUAAGGCUUACUUGCGUUGCGAAAUAACAAUGCCUGAUUUGGACUGAGCAACUUUAAUACCUAAAAAAUGCAAUGUUAAAAGAGGUGUUGCUUCAAACUAAUGAUACCAUCUUGAUCAUUGCCAGUAACAACGAUAUCAUCAAUGUAAAACACCAAAUAAAUACAUAGAUUUGGAGCAGAAUGUUGAUAAAACAUAGGCCAAACUUCUAAAUUACUGUGCUGAACUUUCCAAACCAGGCUCGAGGAGAUUGUUUUAGAUCAUAAAGUGAUCGACGCAAUCGACACCCCAGACUAGACUCCCUGAGCAACUAAACCAGGUAGUUGCUCCAUAUAAACUUCCUUCUAAAGGUUAUCAUGGAGAAAAACAUUCUUAAUAUCCAAUUGAAAAAGUGUCCCGUGUCCAACAAUCAUUGGAUAGAAAAAGAUGAACAUAUGCUAUUUUAACCACGGGAGAGAAAGUAUCACUAUAAUCAAACCCAAGUAUCUGGGUGUACCCUUAGGCAACAAGGUGAGUUUUAAGUCUAUCAAUUUGACUGUCCGAACUAAUUUUCACUGCAUAAACCCAACGACAACCAAUGUUGAUUUACUUGAAGGGAGACGAAUAAACUCCCAUGAACCACUUAUAUGUAAAGUAGGCAUUUCGUCAUUCAUAGUCCGUUGCCAUCCUGGAUGAGAAAGUGCUUCUUUUGUGGACUUAGGGAUGGAGACAUAGUACAAAGAUUAUAUAAAGGCAUAAUGGGGUGAUGAUAAAUGAAGAUAACUUAAAAGGGUAUAAUGAGGUUAGUAUUAUGAGUGGACCAUAUACCUUUUCGAAGUACAAUCGGAGGAGAUAAGUCUGUAGUAGGUGUAGGGUCAGGUGCAGAAUGGGAAUUAUCUAAGCCUGAUGUUGUACAUGGACGAUGAUGAUAAUUCCGGAGUGGUGGCACUGUAUAUGGAGUCUGUUGCUUGGACUCCUCAGAAAUGUCAUCAAGUACGUGUCGGAUCCUUUAAAAGUAGUGUAUAUUUAGAGGAUCCUACAUAGGUAUGACAACAUUUUUAGAGAGUUCGAGCAACUUAGGAUGAAGUUUAGAAGGUAUUUUAAAUUCCUCAAAAGUUAAGUGCAGGUAAGACCAGUGUUCAGAGAUGCGACUGCAUCAUCGCAUUAUGAGCUGAUGCGAUGCGAUGCGGCUCCCAGUGAGUCACAUCUUUGAUGCAGUUCAAUCUGAGAAUUGCGGGUGCAUCAAGCCCUGUUGCGUGAUGCGAUGCGAUGUGAUUGCAUUAUGGAUUUUUUUUAUUUUUGGGCAAUUGUUAAUUAAAAAAAAGGGUUGGAAGUGAUUUUUUUUAAUGGGCAAUUUUUAAAUUAAAAAAAGGUUAGAAGUUUAAGAAAAGAUCGAUUAAAAUUUUUAGGGUUUUUUGACUUUGUGUUCUCUCCUCUCCACUGAAGCUGCGCUGCAACAACUCUUUCUCCAUUGAAGCUGUGACCAAGUACCAACUACCAACAAGUGAGUUUCUUCUUCUUCCUUCUUCUUUCUUCAUCCUUUUUUUCCCCUUCCUCCUUUUUCUUCUUCUGCUCUGUUUUUUCCUUCUUCUGCUUCUUUUUUCUUCUUCUGCUCUGUUUUUUCCUUCUUCUCUUGCUUUUUUUUUCAUACAUUGAUACCCUUUUUUUUUGAAUUUUCAACCAAUGCUCUGUUUUUUUUCUUUCACUAAAAUUAUAUUUUUUCAACAGAGCUGCUUCUUAUUCUUAUACUCUGUUUUAUUUUCUACAGUGAUAGUCUUUCAUCCGAUGUCAUCUGUUAGCUCUUCCACAAGUUACUGAUCUUAAUGAUGAUGAAAUGGAGGAAGAAGCUGCCGAUUUGUCACUUCCUUCAAAAUCACAAAAACACUUACAAAAUGCAUCAGUUUAUUCAAGUUAUGGAUCAAUGGGUACAAAAGGUCCAAUAGAUAUUUACUUUCCGUUAAAGCCAGGAAAUGAUUUUGGAAAAAGUUUUGCAGGCUAUGGCCAAGGGAAUUUUGAGGGAUGGUGCUGUUGUAGCCUUUUCAAGGUGGUUGUAUGAUGCAAGGCUGCCAUUUAAUUGUGUUAAUUAUGACAAUUUUGCAGACAUGAUCGAGGCCAAAAGACAAUAUGGUUCGGGGAUGAAGCCACCCACUUGCAUUCCAUGUGGCUGACACAAAAUUGUGGAGGAGCAUCGAGUGGAAUGGAACAAGUUCGGAUGUUCCAUUAUGAUGGAUAAGUGGACGGCGGGAACUGAAAAAUGAUCAUAAAUGUGUUUGUCAAUUCUCUGAGAGGAAGCUUGUUUCUUGAGUCAAUUGAUGCCAGCGACUCGUCCACUGAUUUCAUCAAAAUGUUCUCUUCGUUUAAGAGUACCAUAGAGAAGAUUGGACUAGAGAACGUUGUUCAAGUGGUUGCAGAUAAUGCAUCUAAAAAUGUUAAGGCAGGUUCUAUGAUAAUGGGAGUGUUCCCUCACAUAUAUUGGACUCCAUGUGCAGCCCAUUGUGUGAAUUUGAUAUUCGGAGAUAUUUUCAAAUAAAGGCCUUUUGAAGGUGUUUUCACCAAGGCAGGUAAUGUACAUUCUUACAUUGUUCAAAGGCCUUUGUUGUUGAAUAUGAUAGAAGAUUUACUAAUCAAUGAAACUUGGUGAAACUUGGCAAAACUAGAUUUGCUACUGCUUUCUUGACCUUACAGACAUUGUUCAAGCAAAAGUCAAAUUUGAGAAGCAUGUUCGUUUCAGAAGAAUGAAAUAAAAGUAAGUUUGCAAAAGAAGUGUAAGUUUGCAAAAAAAGUGUUGGAAUAAUGCUUUCAUUCCACUUUUGGAAUAAUGUUGCUUAUGCUCUUAAAAUAUGUGGCCCUUUGGUUACAGUUCUUUGUUUGGUAGAUGGUGAGGGAAAACCAUCAAUGGGUUACAUUUAUGAAGCAAUGAGUAAGGCGAAGGAGGCUAUUAAAAGUUUUUUCACUGAGGAGCAUAAAUAUGCAAAGAUUUUUGAGAUUAUUGAUAAAAGGUGGAGUGAUCAACUCCACAGAUCGUUGCAUGCAGUUGGCAAUAUCUUGAAUCCAUCACUUUAUUAUAAUCAUGAGGAUGAUUUACUGAAUAAGACUUUGAUGAUGGGAUUUCAUACUUGCAUUGCGAAAGUUGUUGAUGAAGAUAUGCAAGAUAAUUAGUUCUUAUCAAAAUGCCGAGGGACUUUUUGGUAUAGCAACUGCCAUAAGACAAAAAGAGACAAGAAGUCAUGAGUUGAAUGGUAGAGGCUUUAUGGUUCAAAAACUCCAGAGUUACAAAAGUUCGCCAUCAAAAUUUUGGGUCUAACUUAUAGCGCAUGUGGGUGUGAAAGAAAUUGGAGCAUGUUCGAACACAUCCAUACGAAAAAGAGGAAUAGACUUAACUCUAAAGCGCCUCAGUACCUUGGUGUUCAUAAAGUACAAUAAAACUUUGAGGCGUCGUUACAACGUUUGCAAUGGAUUUGAUCCAAUUAGCUUGGACAACAUUGGUGAUGCCAAUGAAUGGCUAACUGGAAUUGAGAAUGUUGAAGAUUAAUUAGUUUUUGAUGGAGAUACUAAUUUCACUUAGGGUGUUGUUGCCGAGGCAAGUGGAGUUGAUGAGUGUCGUUAUGGUUUAAGGGGUAGUACUUCAAGCUCAUACAAUAAGGGAAAAGAAGUUGCUACUUCAACAGGAGAUGAGGAAGAUGAGGAAGUUGAAGAUGAUGAGCAUUAUGUUGAUACUCAAGGAAUAAAAGAAUUGGACAAUCUUAAUGAACUAGAAGAGCUUUAGAUUGAACCAUUAUUAAUUUAGAUUUGAUUUUUCUUUUUUUGGGGUUUGUUUUGCUUUGUUGAACUAAUUUGUUAGUGUUUCAUUACAACUUUUGCUUAAAAUAUAUUGUCUUUAUUGUUAAUUAUAUAGUUGUUGUGGUCUUUUUGGUUAA